rnacentral:rRNA from 1 species
UACAGAGGUCCCAAGCGUUGUUCGGAUUCAUUGGGCGUAAAGGGUGCGUAGGCGGUGAAGUAAGUUGGAUGUGAAAUCCCAGGGCUCAACCCUGGAACUGCAUUCAAUACUGCUUUGCUAGAGUACUGGAGAGGAGAUUGGAAUUCACGGUGUAGCAGUGAAAUGCGUAGAUAUCGUGAGGAAGACCAGUGGCGAAGGCGAAUCUCUGGACAGUUACUGACGCUGAGGCACGAAGGCCAGGGGAGCAAACGGG